GUACAUUGCGCCUAUCCCAAUUCCACUGUGCGUGUGACAGCGGCUAACCUGGUUUUAGGGAGACUUCCCUGCCCCUCCUGCCGUCGUGGGAACUGCCCUGUCCAGACAGACUUUCUCUAAAUGUAACGUAUAUCCAUCCGCAAGCUGUACAUCUAGUGCUAUCUGACACCUAUUAGCUUUUACUGCCCUCCCUGUGGCCUUUCUGAGUACUGUAUUAUAUCACAGGACACAGUCUCUGGACAGACUGUCAGUCAGAGGCCUUUAUCAUUAGCUUACUAUGGACCUGCCGUCCUGUAGACCUUUCAUGCCAUCUACUGGGACUCUACUGGUGCAAGUCACUGUGGUUGAGAUGAGAGAAGAGGUCUAGACUGGAGCCUGGGAAAUGGGGAGUAUAUGGUAUGAGGAAGCACUUGAAUAGAGAAUGAGCGUGCAUUAAAUGUGUAUGUUCAGCCAUUUUGUGAGUGGACAUGUCAACAUAGCAUAGUAAUCUCCAUAGCAAACGGUGCUAGGUCACACAUACUCUAUGUCUACUGUAUUAUAAUCACCCCCCCCCCCCCCUCCCCAUAGCUGCAGGUGCCAGGAUGUGUGCACUACUUCCCUCCCACACCAAGAGAGACAUUUUUGUAACCGACUGUGUGAGCCACCUGUGUGUAAUGAAUUUAUUGUGCUUUCUGUCACUCACAGUGCAUUGGAAGACUUGCAGUAACCAUUGAAAACAGCUCCUUAUAGCAGCCAUUAUUCAUCUAGGAAUACCUAUCAUAUAUGUAUAAUGCAUUAAACAAAUGUGCCUCGUAGAAAGAGCGA